GUGGCCCUCCUUUGGACUUGCUCCAACAGCUCCAUGUCCUUCUUAUGUUGAGGAUACCAGAACUGUAUACAGGCAGCAGUUUGAAAACCUGAAAUAUAUU